CUAUUUCUCUUUCUAAAAAUUUCACGCUUCUCCUCUAACCCUUCUCUCUCUCUCUCUCUGAUUGCUCUGUUUUUUUUUCUCCAUUUUUCUUUCACAACGAAAACUCAAAGUAGAGACAUUUAGAGUUUAUUUCGCGGUUUUAUCUUGGAGAAUUUUUUGGCUUCAGAAAGUUUUCAGGAUUCUAAGCUUUUGUCUGCUCUGUUUCUGGCCUUUCUGCAUGCAAAAUGCAAUUGCAUUCGUGAGUAUAUUAACUUCCAAAACCCUGAAUAUUGCAUUUUUUUCAUAAUUAAUAUUGCCUUUUUUCUGAAAAUCGUUUUGAAGCCAUAUAAUUUUGUGGAAAAUGAUAGUAUAACUUUUUCGUGUUUGACAAAGAAAGUUCAGAAAACAAAUGGAAACAAGCUGCGGCGAAUUUUAGAAACAUGAACAUUUUCAUAUAGUUUUCUUUGGUUUUCUCUCUCUCUCUCUCUCGUGAUAUUAGUUUUUUAUUUGUUCAUUUUGCUCAUCAUUGCUGCCGGAAACUAAACUUAGAGAGAAUUACGCAGGAUUUUCCAUAAAUGAAAGAUCUCGAUCGGUGAGAAUUUAAGAUUGGAC
rnacentral:lncRNA from 1 species